rnacentral:misc_RNA from 1 species
GGCGCAUGGUGAUGCGCUGCGGAUAUCCGUACAGACACUCUGCAUCGCCGACAUCACCGGCCUCCUACCUCAUGUGUGAACCUUCGAAAGGCAGUUCGCAGAGGCACGCCCUCGCAUGGAGGCACAUCCCUUUUCACCUUCUUACGCUUUCACCGGUGCACGCCAACAACGCGCAUGCACAGCGCAACGCUCUCUCUCUUUGCUCCCCCGCAGCACUUACUCGUUCUGUUGAAUGUUCCUUUGCUCUUGAUCCGCUGACGGUGUGUGUGCUUGCGCGUGGCUUAUCAGCGAGUGGAUCCGCUUUUUCAUCCGUCUUUUACUGUGUCGCGUCCAUCUCACCCUUUGAUGACGGGAGGGGGCAAACACACCCCGGUGUGAGGUAUCCCGGAUCCACUAGUCUCCUUCACCCUCUGUGUGCAUUGGAAGAAGCCAAGCAGCCCCUCCUCCAUCCCCUGCCAAUGCAGCGCUGCAUCGCGACGGAUGUCGGCGGUGUGUCAGGUCCUGGAUGGCGUUGCGUCGGAGCGGCCUGCGGCAGUGCCGACGCGUCUGCGCGGCUCCAGCGCAUCCGUCACCCGGCCCUCACCACCGCCUGCUGGUGUGGGGAGCCUGAGCGCCACCCCCUCCCUCUCCGAGGAGGGAUGCCGCAGGUGGCGGCCGGCAUGAUGGGAGCGGCUGUGAGGCGGCCUGCGAGGCAGCGGGGGGGGGGCGGGAGGAGGUCGGUGGAGCUUGAGGCAGGGGGGCCGUGCUCUCGGAUGGCUGAGUCGGCGCGUUGCCGCAAAGCGUGUGUGCCGCGCUGCGUCGCAGGACUCGGUGAGGCCUGUGGCCGGCCAGAGGGCGUGUGUGUGUGUGUGGAGUGGCGUUGAAGUCAUGGCUGGUGGCAGAGACACGGGCGCGUUGACGAAUAAGAAAAAAAAAACGGCAUUCGCCCCGUUCAGCGCGUCGCUUCACUUUCUCCCUGUCUCUCUCAUUUUCCGCUUCUUCUCUCUUGUUCGCUGUGCUGCUGUGGUGUGCUCCACACACACAUCUCCCUCCCUUCCACGAUGGACCGAGAAAG